rnacentral:rRNA from 1 species
GUAACACUGAAUGGAGGACCGAACCGACUUACGUUGAAAAGUGAGCGGAUGAACUGAGGGUAGCGGAGAAAUUCCAAUCGAACCUGGAGAUAGCUGGUUCUCUCCGAAAUAGCUUUAGGGCUAGCCUCAAGUGAUGAUUAUUGGAGGUAGAGCACUGUUUGGACGAGGGGCCCCUCUCGGGUUACCGAAUUCAGACAAACUCCGAAUGCCAAUUAAUUUAACUUGGGAGUCAGAACAUGGGUGAUAAGGUCCGUGUUCGAAAGGGAAACAGCCCAGACCACCAGCUAAGGUCCCAAAAUAUAUGUUAAGUGGAAAAGGAUGUGGCGUUGCCCAGACAACUAGGAUGUUGGCUUAGAAGCAGCCAUCAUUUAAAGAGUGCGUAAUAGCUCACUAGUCGAGUGACACUGCGCCGAAAAUGUACCGGGGCUAAACAUAUUACCGAAGCUGUGGAUUGUCCUUUGGACAAUGGUAGGAGAGCGUUCUAAGGGCGUUGAAGCAUGAUCGUAAGGACAUGUGGAGCGCUUAGAAGUGAGAAUGCCGGUGUGAGUAGCGAAAGA